rnacentral:rRNA from 2 species
GUGUAUGGAAUGUCAAAUUUCUAGUAUGAUAAAUUAACGAUUUAAGUCCUUCUUAAAUGAGGCCAUUUACCCAUAGAGGGUGCCAGGCCCGUAUAACGUUAAUGAUUACUAGAUGGCAUUUCCAAAGAGUCGUGUUGCUUGAUAGUGCAGCACUAAGUGGGUGGUAAACUCCAUCUAAAACUAAAUAUAACCAUGAGACCGAUAGUAAACAAGUACCGUGAGGGAAAGUUGAAAAGAACUCUGAAUAGAGAGUUAAAUAGUACGUGAAACUGCUUAGAGGUUAAGCCCGAUGAACCUGAAUAUCCAUUAUGGAAAAUUCAUCAUUAUGAUUUUAAUAUUUAUAAUAUUAUAAUAAUAGUGUGCAUUUUUUCUAUAACGGACAUUGUAAUCUAUUAACAUAAAUAUAUUUAUCAUAAGAUCAAUGAUGCGUAAGUUUAUUCAAAUUAUUUUGCUUGCAAUUUAACAUAGAAUAAAUGCUCUUGAUUUGAUAAAGUGUUGAUAGAUUUAUUGUAUAUAGUGCUUAAAUAUUUAUAUUUUAUAAUAGCAUAUUAAUCAUUGAUUUUUAUGUUUAUUAUAUGCACUUAUAUGAUUAACAAUGCGAAAGAUUCAGGAUACCUUCGGGACCCGUCUUGAAACACGG